GGGACAGGGAGGCGGGGCAUCCGAGGGGCGGAGAGGUCGCUGUCCUUCCAGGCGAGGCGCGGGCCACCUGCCGCAGGGGGGCGCUCCCGGCGCUCCGACUGGCCGGAUCCCGCUGUCCCUACGGGUUAGGCUGGAGGGUGCGGGCGGGUAAGUGGUGGUGCCUUCCGGAGCCGGCCUGCGGGACGGUGGGGUAAGAAGGCUCUUGAACAACCAUUCUACGCCAAACCCUUCCUCCUUCGCCGGUGGGGUAAGAACAGGGCUACAACCGAGGGGAGCUGGGGAUUACCCUUCUCCGGGAGGAGCCCGCGCCCAUGACAUCGUCAAUGGCCGGGGGCGUUGGCCCGACUAACCGGCUCGGAACUAGGGGUGCAGCGUCUUCAGCCUAACCAGGGCGCCCUCCCUGCGGGGAAAGCCGGGAGGCCGCGUUCUCCCUAGGGCCCGAGGUCCGCCAAUGCGUGGGGACCGGGCGGUGGGAAGGGGCCCGAGUGCCAGCGUCCGCGACCCAUUCCCUGCCCCCUCAACUGCUUUCCCAGGGCCAGGGGCAGGCGAGGCAAUGGGGGGCGGGCAGGAGGAACCCCCUGCCCGCGGCCUCAAACCAGAAAUCCCGGGCGGUCAAGUUGCGGCCACAUCCGCCGCCGCCGCCCGGAGGCUGCGCUCCUACUCGGCGCCCUGGGGUCGACGAGGGCUUCUCCACCUGCCGGCGGCGAAGACGCGCUCUCUGCGAGUUGCCUGUACCCGUGCCCUCGGGCCAUUCUGACACACAGCGACCCCAUGGGGCAGCGUAGAUCUGCCCCACAGGGUUUCCAAGGCUGUGAUCUUUACGGAGGCAGACUGCCACAUCUUUCUCCCGCGGAGCGGCCCUGGUGGGUUCGAACUGCCCACCUCUUGGUUAGCAGCCCAGGGCUUAACCACUGCGCCAGGACGGGGUCUCAGAAUUCUCUGUAGGAGAAUUACCCCGGUCUUUGUACCUCAUACCACAAGCAGGGAAAAGAACGGCCCAAGGAGCUGAGCAGAAAACUGAGGAAACAAGGCCUGUGCCCAGCUUUGUCCCUCGGAAAAAAAUGGCUUUUAGGCCUUUUGCAGACUGGGGAGAGGGGACGGCUGCGGGGAAGGGCAGACAGGACACAGUUCCUCAAUUUCUUCCUUAUCCCCAGUAUCUUCGGUGCCUCCCAUCCCUGCAGUGAACGGCUCAGGUCUGCUCUGAUCCUUUAAUUCCCGGGAUUAGAUUUUGUUCGCCGAGAAUUUAAUUUAACCGCCCCCCUCUCCCCUGCCAUUCUAUCAAAAGGCACUUUUGCGCCCUCUGGCGGCCGCUACUCCCUUACAGACGUGCACGCACCUGUUCCUGUGUCUCUGUCCAACAGUCAAAAAUAAAAGAUGCUGCAAACCUCCGGGCAUAGCUCAACCACUGAGCAAAGGUCACCGAGGGUAGAAAGGUUAUAACAACGAAUUCCUGGCGCUGCCCGCUGUGGCUGGCAGCGUCGACUAGGAAGAAAAGCAGCCAGGGCUCCUGGAUUCCAUUUAGCCUGCCCAGCUCUGCGCUCAGUGUUAACAUUGCUAUGGUCUUUGUGCCUGCACUGCCCCACAGCCCCUCUCAGCUGCCUCUUCUAGUGUGACUUGCCUGGAGCCUCUUCAAAUAGCUGCCAUGCAGUGGCUCUGAGCAAUCCCUAUGCAAACACUAGACUGUUCGUUGCAACCCCUGGAGUCUAAUACUUGGUCGCUCAGGAGCAGAAAGGCAACAAGAGCAGAUGCCUGCCAGGCCUACAAACUCGGAAUUUUCAAGUGGACUGGGAGAUGGGCAGGAGAGGGUGGUUGUUUUUCCUAUUCUAUUACAUUCAAGUUUUUCUUAGUCUAUACUGCAAACCAUCCCUUGUAAACACCCCUCCUCUGUUUCCAGACUGGUAAAGUCACCUUCCAAGAACGGCGGCACACUCUUUUGGUUGUAACUAAGGAACGCCAAAGCAUCUAAUUGUACCAAUUGUGCUCAUCCCUAUCAAGGGCUUCCGUGGCUGACUUUUCCUUUAGAAUUCAAAUAAUUUGCAACAUCAGAAAUACAGCUGUAACCAAAGUUGUGUAGGCAGUGAGUGUCUUCAUGUGACACUGGAGCAGUCUCUUUAUGACACUUUCAUUGCCCCCACCCCAUCCAAGAAUUUUCUUCACUGUCUCCUAUUCCAACCACUUUUUUCUUCUGACCCUGAGGCAGUCAAGUGGCAGAAAUUAGCAAAGCAGCUCCGUUACUUUCUAAGUUUUUGCCAAGAUGCAUUUUAGGGUAGGCAUUGCUCUCUACCCUUCUGUAAAAUGAGAAUGUUGGCACAGCUGAUCUCUGAGUGGCCAGGGUGCUGCUUACACAAACGUGUUGUAUACAAGAGCUAAGUUCACAGUUUCAUGUUAGAGACUUAGAGGUCAUAGCGUUUCCCCCCCGCCCCCAAAUUACACCUCAUCUUACAUCUCUUUUUAAUACCGAUUCCUUUACUUGAAUAUGGUGCUUCCAUUACCUUUGAAUCAGUAAAUAGUCCCAUUCUUUGUUUUUAACCAAUGAUCAUAUAGUUACCUAACAACCUGCUGCCUUCUUUUUUAGACUUAGACUGUUCUGGUCAGAGACUGGAUAAAUUCAGUAUUAGCAAGCUACUUUCUUUCCAGGUCUCCAUGUCCCAACACUCAGCUUUGUCCUCUUGGCCCCACCCUUAGCAGCACACUCCAAGUCAAAUGGAAAAGCACAUACUGGAUCCAGUGUUUGCCAUCUUCUCCAACUGCUCAGGGUGGUGCAGCAAUGCCCCAUGGUCAGCAAUGUUAGCACUGAAUACUAUGAGAUUAAUGCUAUGAGAAGGUCAAUGAAACCUCAGCCUUCAGGACCAUAAUUCCAAGUUCCAAUGAAGGGCAAAGUCUGGAGACUUUCCUCAUGUCCACGCCUACGGACUGCCGGGGAGGGGAGGAGCUACACUUGGACAUCCUCAUAACAGUGAUAUAUACUCCCUGAACCAGCACCCAUUUUUAGCAGCUCAUUUCAGCCAACUCCAUAAACCCAGGCUCAAAUGACAUAAAGAAAAGUAACCCCACUGAUUAUAAGCUCUCUAACCAUUAGAAAAAUAAAUAAGCAUCAACCAUGAGUCAUCAGAAUGAAAAAAUCACUGAUUUGAGACGAUUCAGGUUGUGGGAAAGAAGAGAACAUUUUCUAUCACAUGCAACUUCGUCUUCAAUAGUAUAGAAAAACAGGGAGAAUGGUAGCUCUUACCUGGAUUUGCAGCCCAGUUAAAUACAGCACCUGAGAGAUGUUGGGGAAUUAUCAAAGAUAAACAACCAAUCUAACAAAUUCCCACCAUGAGGCCAAACUGAUCCUUGAUUAUCCUACUACUAAGCUGUUCUUGGUCAAGAGUAUUAACCUCUUAGUGGAGUGCUAGUUGACCAUGAGAAAUCUCUGAAAAGAUCUAAACAUAUUUAUCUUCCUAAAGGACUAGUACCAUCCAAUUUCCUAUCCUACAGAUCACUUUAAAAAUGAGUCAUGUUUCCACUGGUUCCUCUCUCAUCUGUCCACUUGUACUCUUUGAGAGAGUUGCACUGGUCACUAAGUGUAAAGAUGCAGAAUGACAGACUUACAAAUUCAAGUACUUAGGGUCAGAGGAAAUAUCUUAGUCAUUUUGAAAACAGAAUAUAUACAAAAUGAGAUGUCCAAUGACUUUGAUACUCUGACAAGAAACAAUGACACUGGUCAGUGGGGUACAGAGUGUGAAAGGAGGUGAAAACACGUGCUCUGUCUGUCCUGUUCAUCCUUAGAGGUGACGUCAGAGCAUAGUCCCCACAGCUAGUGAGACCACACUCUGCUACAAAAAGCUCAAUUAGUACGUCAAGAGGCCAGGAAUUACUUUAAUCUUUUUUUUUUUUUUUUUUUAAAAAGUUUAAAUGGCAACACAACCAUAAAGUUGGUACAUCACAGAAACAAAAGUCUUUGCAGGCAACACUGAUUGGAAAUAGCAAAACACUUGGUUGGUGAAAAAAAUGUAAUUCUAAAUUAUAUACAGUAGUAGCUAAGGGUGAUACUGAAAAACAGUCUUAUUUAAUGUGAUUCAAGAUUUACCUUGCCAUUAUCUAUUGCUUAUUUAUUCAGGGUUGUAAAUAACACUUAUAUAGAGACAUAGAUGUGUAAAAAUGAAACAUUGUGAAAAAAAUACAACUUUUCAAUUUCAUAUGAAACUCAAAGUAUAAGUUUUGUCCAAUAUGGAAUGUACCUACAUUUGCUCAUAUUAGGGCUCUAAAAUCCAUUUAAAAAUUGUUUGUUUUUUAAAAAAGAAACGGCUGACCCACCAUGCAAGUUCGCUGUUAUGUCUUGCUUGCUCAAAAUGAGCAUUUUCAGGUGAGGUCUGUGUUUUCUUCCAAAGUUUACUAUGAUUUCUUAGCUGUACUGGCCCAAUCAUGGGAAGCCAGUUUCCGUGAAGAGUCUGAUGGCAGCAUUUGGACGAGGGACAGUCUGGGUAAUGGGAAAUGAGCAGAGAAGAGGGAGGUAAGAGCCCAGAUCCUUAUGAAGGAUGACAUUCAGUUGUUAAAUUUUAAGGGGUAUCCAAUGGCUUUUUCCAGGCAUUCAACUAAAGAGCCUGCAGAAAGAAAAUCCCUCUCUACUUCAACGAAUUUGAUAUAGAUGGAUUUGGGGGAAACUCCGGGAUCCACAAUACAGUUCUGAGACAAAAACCCAUUAAUACCAACCCAAUCUUUGCUGAAGGUUUUGGUAUUUGCUUGGAAGUGUAAAAAUAAGCACUGUUGCAGAGUUCUGACUUCAGCAAUCCCGAGGUAGCAAUAGAUAAUUCGAGUGGGUUCCAUUUCCACCUGUAAUGAGGCUUGUGACGACAGGGUUUCCAGGUCAACCCGGCCCUCCUUUCCUGGGUCCAGGGAACGCUGCUCCAUGUGGGGUGACAGGGGCCUCUCAAUACAUUCUUCAUAGCCGAUGGCAUAAAGGCCUGGGCUUUUGGGAAUGCCUCCUGGCAAUAAAUACUGAACAACGUUCCCACCAGUUGGUUUAGAGUGGGCAAUGGGUAUCCAGUCAAUUUCCAUGUGCAGCUCCAGGCACC